UCCCAGUUCGGAUUGUAGUCUGCAACCCGACUACAUGAAGCUGGAAUCGCUAGUAAUCGCAGGUCAGCAUACUGCGGUGAAUACGUUCCCGGGUCUUGUACACACCGCCCGUCACACCAUGGGAGCCGGAAAUGCCCGAAGCCAGUGACCCAACCUUAGGGAGGGAGCUGUCGAAGGUGGAGCCGGUAACUGGGGUGAAGUCGUAACAAGGUAUC
rnacentral:rRNA from 1 species